CCUACGGGAGGCAGCAGUAGGGAAUAUUGCUCAAUGGGGGAAACCCUGAAGCAGCAACGCCGCGUGGAGGAUGAAGGUUUUCGGAUUGUAAACUCCUUUCGGCAGAGAAGAUAAUGACGGUAUCUAACGAAUAAGCACCGGCUAACUCCGUGCCAGCAGCCGCGGUAAUACGGAGGGUGCAAGCGUUAUUCGGAAUUACUGGGCGUAAAGAGCGCGUAGGCGGGAUGGCAAGUCAGAAGUGAAAUCCUAUGGCUUAACCAUAGAACUGCAUUUGAAACUGUUAUUCUAGAGUGUAGGAGAGGUAGGCGGAAGUCUUGGUGUAGGGGUGAAAUGCGUAGAUAUCAGGAGGAAUACUGAUGGCGAAGGCGGCCUGCUGGAACGUAACUGACGCUGAGGCGCGAAAGCGUGGGGAGCAAACAGGAUUAGAUACCCGGGUAGUC
rnacentral:rRNA from 1 species